rnacentral:rRNA from 1 species
UACGGAAGGCAGCAGUGGGGAAUAUUGCACAAUGGGCGAAAGCCUGAUGCAGCUAUGCCGCGUGUAUGAAGAAGGCCUUAGGGUUGUAAAGUACUUUCAUCGGGGAGGAAAAAACAAAACUAAUAAUUUUAUUUCUUGACGUUACCCGAAAAAGAAGCACCGGCUAACUCCGUGCCAGCAGCCGCGGUAAUACGGAGGGUGCUAGCGUUAAUCAGAAUUACUGGGCGUAAAGAGCACGUAGGUGGUUUUUUUAAGUUCAGAUGUGAAAUCCCUGGGCUUAACCUAGGAACUGCAUUUUGAAACUGAAAUACUAGAGUAUCGUAGAGGGAGGUAGAAUUCUAGGUGUAGCGGUGAAAUGCGUAGAAUAUCUGGAGGAAUACCUGUGGCGAAAGCGGCCUCCUAAACGAAUACUGACACUGAGGUGCGAAAGCGUGGGGAGCAAACAGGAUUAGAUACC